rnacentral:rRNA from 1 species
UUCGAUUAGCCAUGCGAGUUAAUGUUCUUCGUGAACAUAGCAGACUGCUCAGUAACACGUGGAUAACCUGCCCUUAGGACUGGCAUAACCCCGGGAAACUGGGGAUAAGUCCGGAUAGAUCAUAAAUGCUGGAAUGCUUUAUGAUUGAAAGGUUUCGACCGCCUUAGGAUGGAUCUGCGGCCUAUCAGGUUGUAGUGGGUGUAAUGUACCUACUAGCCUACGACGGGUACGGGUUGUGGAAGCAAGAGCCCGGAGAUGGAUUCUGAGACAUGAAUCCAGGCCCUACGGGGCGCAGCAGGCGCGAAAACUUUACAAUGCGGGAAACCGUGAUAAGGGAACACUGAGUGCUAGCAUUUAUGUUAGCUGUCCACAUGUGUAAAUAGCAUGUGAUAGCAAGGGCUGGGCAAGACCGGUGCCAGCCGCCGCGGUAACACCGGCAGCCCGAGUGGUGAUCACUAUUAUUGGGUCUAAAGGGUCCGUAGCCGGUUUAAUCAGUCUUCUGGGAAAUCUAAUCGCUUAACUAUUAGGCUUCCAGGGGAUACUGUUAGACUUGGGACCGGGAGAGGUAAGAGGUACUGCAGGGGUAGGAGUGAAAUCUUGUAAUCCCUGUGAGACCACCAGUGGCGAAGGCGUCUUACCAGAACGGGUCCGACGGUGAGGGACGAAAGCUGGGGGCACGAACCGGAUUAGAUACCCGGGUAGUCCCAGCUGUAAAACGAUGCUCGUUAGGU